GAAGGGAAGAUGAUGACCAGCUACAGAGAAGUAAGGGAUGAAGAAGGUGACAGCUCAGCUGAGGACUGAUUCCAAAGAGAAUUGGCCGUAGAGGAGCGUUGGGAAACAGGAGCAGUCUGUGGCAGAAUGGCUUGUGGGGCCAACGUCCCGUGCCCUGGGAUUAAAGAAUAGCAGGGCAGGAGCAGCAGAAAUCCUCCAGCUGCCUUGGAGUCUCUUCUGGUGAAAGUUGCUCCAAAACAAAUGCAGUGAUUCAUUGAAAAGUCACUGCAAUUUUUUUUUUAUUAGAGUUGCUUCUACAUUCUUUUUAAUUUACAUUAAAAUUUGGAACCUCUGUGCGCUAUA